UACCACUUGCUCUUUUGCUCA
rnacentral:piRNA from 1 species